rnacentral:ncRNA from 1 species
UUUAUAGCUACGAAGGAAAGAGUACUAUAAUGUGUAUCUUCAAGAGAGUCGGGUUAGGUGAAAGCCGAUAGAAUGUGUAUUAUAGGAAGAUGGCUCCUGAGCUUUUUGGCUGAAUCUAAUUUAGUUUAGGUCAAAACGGUUGCACCGUUAUAGCACUUAAGGUCAUUAAGAUGAAUUAGGGUGGUAACGCGGCGCUUCGCCCCUAGG